rnacentral:rRNA from 1 species
UACGGAGGGUGCAAGCGUUAUUCGGAAUUACUGGGCGUAAAGCGUGCGUAGGCGGUUUGUUAAGUCUGCUGUGAAAUCCCCGAGCUCAACUUGGGAAUUGCAAUGGAUACUGGCAGGCUGGAGUAUGGUAGAGGAAGGUGGAAUUCCCGGUGUAGCAGUGAAAUGCGUAGAUAUCGGGAGGAACACCAGUGGCGAAGGCGGCCUUCUGGACCGAUACUGACGCUCAUGCACGAAAGCGUGGGGAGCAAACAGG